rnacentral:misc_RNA from 1 species
CGAGUCCUCAAUUUUCCCAUAAUUAGCAGAAAAAAUUUUUACCCAGAACCCUAACAAAAACCUCUUUAUCAUUAAAAUCCCUUCUCUUAUAUUCUCAGAUCCUGCUGUGAUUCUCUCUAUGAAGAGUAAGCGACGAUCAACAGAAUCCAUGGCCAACAAUUCCACUGCUUCUCCUACUCUUCGCAGCCAUGAUAUCAUCAAAGACAUCAUCUCCAGGCUUCCCGUCAAAUCUAUUAAACGCUUCGAAUCCGUUUGCAAAGCCUGGUACUUCCUCUUCAAUUCCACUGAAUUCAUUUCCAUCCAUUUAGGUCGCUCUUCCGAUCACCCCUCUCUUCUCAUUCGCCGCUUCCAUAACCCAACUGGGUCUAACUUUUCUCUGUCUUUGAUCGAUAAUCGAACCUCAACUCCGCGCGAGAUGAGGAUACCGUUUUUGGGUUCUUUGAUUCGAUAUCCGAAGAUUAUUGCCUCUUGCAAUGGUAUUAUCUGUUUCGAUAUCUCGCCUUGCUAUGCCUCCGCUUUUGUGCUAUGGAAUAUUUCGACUAGGCGAUUUAGAGGUCUCCCUCGACCCAGAAUCAAUGAUGCCCAUAAGCCAAUUUGGAUGGUCGCUACUGGAUUUGGGUAUAAUCGCCAAAGUAGUGAUUUUAAAUUGGUAAGGAUUGUGAAUUUUCAGUGUAAAGAAGAUGAAUCGCCUGUUGUGAGGGCUGAAGUGUACUUGUGGAGUACGAGUUCGUGGAGGGUGUUGGAUGGAAGAAUGAUUGAGGAAAGAAUUGGUUUUUGUGUGAUUCCUGAAGGCCAGCAGGCUGUGACUGUGGAUGAGUCUAUGCAUUGGGUGGCUAAUGGGGUUGGGAAGUUGGCAAAUCACAAGUUCAUCGUCUCAUUCAACAUGGGUAAUGAAGAAUUCAGGAGAGUACAAUUAUUAGAUUUUAUUCCCAGUGGAAUUUGUGCUAAAUUUGUAAGAUUCAAUGAAUCACUUGCUUUGGCAUUGUAUCCUGCUAUGCCUGUUUAUCCUGGAUAUGGAAGACCCAUCAAUCGAAUUGAGUUGUGGACGUUGGAUAAAGAUUAUCCUACUGAUGGUGAUUGUAAGUACUGGACUAAACUCCAUGCGAUGGACUUGAAUUCUUCAGGACUUGGUACUCCAAUUGGAGUUUACAAUGAUUCAGAAUUGUUAGUGAAGCGUGUGGAGGUACAUUGUGUUACUCUAUCCUUUUUUGAUCCCUAUAACAAAAGCAUCAAGACUCUACCCAUUUGCAGUUCUGACUAUACAUGUGAGUUCUAUAGUUAUGUCGACAGCUUAGUUCCAGUAGUAAAUGCAGAGGAGUUGGAAGUAGAAGAGGCUCAGAAGUCAGAAAUAUGUUAGAUGUUGAGACUCAUAAAUGGUUCAUACUUUUGCUUAGUAGGAUUCUGGUUUUAUGGUACAAGACAUUGCUGAGGAAGUUGGAUCCUUUUCAUAUAUAAUAUUGCUAGUAGGAAUUAGUGCAAGUAUUUUACUUUUGACUGUGAAUUGAACCAAUUUGAGUCUAACACCUACCUACUUAUGUUUAUAUUGUUAUUUAAUGUGCAGUUGGCAUACUCUUUAUUUAAUGCAUUGUUUGAGCUUCUUGUAUGCUUUCUUGAUUUGGCGACUUAAAUUUCAGCUAGUCAAAGGUUGUGAUAUUGCAUAGUGGUGACCAAAUUAAAGCACUGGACUUUGAUUUCAGGUAGUUUUACCUAUGAUAGUAGGUUUUUGAGAGCUUGAUUUUGACCUUGUACUUAGAAUCAGGGCUACUUGAUUUAUUACCAUUUAUAGUGCUUAUUUCCUACUGACUUUUGCCUUUUGAUUGGUGUAUGGUCUCCCACUCCUA